rnacentral:rRNA from 1 species
AUUGAACGCUGGCGGCAUGCCUUACACAUGCAAGUCGAACGGCAGCACGGGGCAACCUGGUGGCGGGUGGCGAACGGGUGAGUAAUGCAUCGGAACGUACCUUUCAGUGGGGGAUAACGUAGCGAAAGUUACGCUAAUACCGCAUAUUCUGUGAGCAGGAAAGCAGGGGAUCGCAAGACCUUGCGCUGAUUGAGCGGCCGAUGUCAGAUUAGCUAGUUGGUGGGGUAAAGGCUCACCAAGGCGACGAUCUGUAGCGGGUCUGAGAGGAUGAUCCGCCACACUGGAACUGAGACACGGUCCAGACUCCUACGGGAGGCAGCAGUGGGGAAUUUUGGACAAUGGGGGCAACCCUGAUCCAGCCAUGCCGCGUGAGUGAAGAUGGCCUUCGGGUUGUAAAGCUCUUUCGACCGGGAAGAAAUCGCACGGGCUAAUACCCUGUGUGGAUGACGGUACCGGAAUAAGAAGCACCGGCUAACUACGUGCCAGCAGCCGCAGUAACAC